rnacentral:rRNA from 1 species
GAGCGGCCCGCGUCCGAUUAGCCAGUUGGUGGGGUAACGGCCUACCAAAGCGACGAUCGGUAGCUGGUCUCAGAGGAUGAUCAGCCAGACUGGGACUGAGACACGGCCCAGACUCCUACGGGAGGCAGCAGUUAGGAAUUUUGGGCAAUGGGCGCAAGCCUGACCCAGCAACGCCGCGUGGGUGACGAAGGCCUUCGGGUUGUAAAGCCCUUUUCUUAGAGAAGAUGAUGACGGUAUCUGAGGAAGAAGCACCGGCUAACUACGUGCCAGCAGCCGCGGUAAUACGUAGGGUGCGAGCGUUGCCCGGAUUUAUUGGGCGUAAAGGGCGCGUAGGCGGCUCAGCACGUCCGUUGUGAAAUCGCCCGGCUCAACUGGGCGGGGUCAGCGGAUACGGCUGAGCUUGAGCAAGCUAGGGGGCAAUGGAAUUCCCGGUGUAGUGGUGGAAUGCGUAGAUAUCGGGAGGAACACCAGUGGCGAAGGCGGUUGCCUGGGGCUUUGCUGACGCUGAGGCGCGAAAGCGUGGGGAGCGAUCCGGAUUAGAUACCCGGGUAGUCCACGCCGUAAACGAUGUCGACUAGGUGU